AGCGCAGGAUUUGUCAAAAGUCAUGUUCCACCAAUCACAAUGCGGGAGAGAUUAAAUGUCCAGCAAACGACGGCAAUGUUGCCAGACUCCUUUUAGCGGGAAUUUUAAAAUUUUAUAGCAGUUCGCUUUUAAAUUUGACAGUUCUGUUUUCUCAAGUCAAAAAUCUUAACCUUACUUUUACAAGUGAUUAGGAUUAUUAUUAUUAUUUUAUUUACAUGUAAAUUGAAACAAUAAAUAUUGUGCUGUGUCAUAAUUUCAAACUCAUUAUGUUGCAGUCUUUUCCAGUUGAUAAAAUUGCAAUUCAAAAACUUUUAGGUAGAUUUGCACUGUAUGGCUAGCACAGGAAGAGAACAAGAGUACAAGAACAUGAAACAUCUUAUUAUGAAUGUAUAUGUAUGUGAUCCUCAAAAAAUUAUUUUACAGAACAAGAUAGAGAAAGAGCUUUAAAAUCCCAAGGAUCCUGCAAAAUGUUUAUUUGGUGUACUAGUCAAAUAAUAGUAUCUAAAAAUAUUGAAACUAUUUUAAAACAGAUUACGGGCAUGAGGAUGAUGUAGAGCACUUACAUAACUACCAAAAUCAGAUAAAUAUCUCUUCAGAGUAUAUUUUGAGACUUUCUUCAAAAAUUAAACUUCAGACUGUUCAGGAUAGCAUAAUAGCAUAGGAGGCGAAUUAAAAAGAAUUGAUUUACUUACAAGAAAAGAUAUCACAAACAUUAAACUCUCUUAUGGCAUUGAUUUGAAAGAUGGGUAUAUGUACAAUGAUGAUGCAACCAGUGUUUAUUUUUGGGUUGAAUGCUUACAGACUCAUGUCCAAUAUUAUUUUACAAACAACAGGGAAUACUAAUGGAUAUUCAUUCUGAAUUUAACAUUUAUGAUUUUUGUCUUAUUUGCAUGAAUGCUGUGCCAAAAGGAAAUGUUAAUUAAGUUUGGUAAAUCCUUUAUCGCAAUCGAUGGAACUCAUGGGCUCAAUUCCUAUUCCUGACUUUGAACUUAUGAUAGUAUUAGUAAAAGAUGAAUUUGGGAAUGGAUUUUGUACUGCUUUCUUAUUUUCAAAUAGAAAAGAUACCUACUUUAAUUUACCAAUUUUUUAAAAUACAUGUCUGUGUUGGUAUUAUAUGUAUAGUCAAAUGUUUUCAUAUCAGGCAUAAUCUACACCUUUUACAAUGCCUCGUCAAAUGUAAUGGGUAUUGCUCCUAAUAGACUGUUAAGUGCCUGGCACAUAGAUAGGGCAUGGUAAGUAAAUCUUAAUAAAAUAUCUGAUUCUGAAAAAAAUCCUAUUAUGUAUACAAGAUGUAUUAAUGAUGGUUUAGAGAGUAUUAAUAGCUUUUUGGGUAAACUUCUAAGUGAUGCAGAUACAUACAAUUUUAGUAAGUAUUUCCAGUAGAACUACUGCAAUAACAUCCAACAAUGGGCCUAUUGUUACAGGAAGAGGUUGUGGAAUUCAUACCAAUAUGACCAUUCAAAAUUUUCAUAAAAUUUUGGAUAAAAGGGUAUCCAUUAGUUGUUAUCAGUUAAGUUUAAAACUUGGCACUGAUGGAGAGCUAUACCAUAAUAUAUAAUAGGUAUAUCUCAUAAUAUUACAUCUCAUAUUGCUCACUCAUUACAAUAGUGAGCAAUAUGAGAUAUAACAUAUUAUAGUAUAAGUCUCUGUGCAUGACCAGAUUAACAUGUUUGGUGCCCAUCUCGAACAAGCUCCACUUGGCUGGUACCACAUACUUAAAUCAUUUAUUUAGUUACACAGUACUACUCACAUAACUUAUGUGUCAUCAGUACCUUCUGUAAAACCUUCGUGAUGCUACCCAUACGUCAUGGCCACUGAAUGUGUUAAAGCUUGUUAAUGUAGGAGAGUUAUACUAAAAUAUAUAUCUUAUAUUAUAUUGCCUUAAAUAGAAAAAAUAUCUUAUUUAAAUUGUAUCCAUGUAAGUUUUGAUUUAAUGAAAUAAACCUUUUAAUCAAAAAAGUGUUGUUUACUUGUGUACACCCAGCAAUAUCUUGA